rnacentral:rRNA from 1 species
UGGGGAAUAUUGCACAAUGGGCGCAAGCCUGAUGCAGCCAUGCCGCGUGUGUGAAGAAGGCCUUCGGGUUGUAAAGCACUUUCAGCGAGGAGGAAGGUGGUGAGCUUAAUACGCUCAUCAAUUGACGUUACUCGCAGAAGAAGCACCGGCUAACUCCGUGCCAGCAGCCGCGGUAAUACGGAGGGUGCAAGCGUUAAUCGGAAUUACUGGGCGUAAAGCGCACGCAGGCGGUUUGUUAAGUCAGAUGUGAAAUCCCCGGGCUCAACCUGGGAACUGCAUUUGAAACUGGCAAGCUAGAGUCUCGUAGAGGGGGGUAGAAUUCCAGGUGUAGCGGUGAAAUGCGUAGAGAUCUGGAGGAAUACCGGUGGCGAAGGCGGCCCCCCUGGACGAAGACUGACGCUCAGGUGCGAAAGCGUGGGGCAGCAAACAGGAUUAGAUACCCUGGUAGUCCAGCGCUGUAAAACGAUGUCGAUUUGGAGGUUGUGCCCUUGAGGCGUGGCUUCCGGAGCUAACGCGUUAAAUCGACCGCCUGGGGGAGUACGGCCGCAAGGUUAAAACUCAAAUGAAUUGAC